GCGGACGGGUGAGUAACGCGUGGGUAACCUGCCUCAUACAGGGGGAUAACAGUUAGAAAUGACUGCUAAUACCGCAUAAGCGCACGGUUUCGCAUGGAACAGUGUGAAAAACUCCGGUGGUAUGGGAUGGACCCGCGUCUGAUUAGCUGGUUGGCGGGGUAACGGCCCACCAAGGCGACGAUCAGUAGCCGGCCUGAGAGGGUGAACGGCCACAUUGGGACUGAGACACGGCCCAAACUCCUACGGGAGGCAGCAGUGGGGAAUAUUGCACAAUGGGGGAAACCCUGAUGCAGCGACGCCGCGUGAGUGAAGAAGUAUCUCGGUAUGUAAGGCUCUGUCAGCAGGGAAGAAGAAAGACGGUACCUGACCAAGAAGCCCCGGCUAACUACGUGCCAGCAGCCGCGGUAAUACGUAGGGGGCAAGCGUUAUCCGGAUUUACUGGGUGUAAAGGGAGCGUAGACGGCCAGACAAGUCUGAAGUGAAAAUCCAGCGCUUAACGUUGGAAGUGCUUUGGAAACUGCCGGGCUAGAGUGCAGGAGGGGCAGGCGGAAUUCCUAGUGUAGCGGUGAAAUGCGUAGAUAUUAGGAGGAACACCAGUGGCGAAGGCGGCCUGCUGGACUGCAACUGACGUUGAGGCUCGAAGGCGUGGGGAGCAAACAGGAUUAGAUACCCUGGUAGUCCACGCGGUAAACGAUGAUUACUAGGUGU
rnacentral:rRNA from 1 species